AGGAACAAACGUGUCAUCUCAUGGAGAAAUAGUUCCACUUAGUCUGCAGAUGUACGGUUGUAAAGGGCCACAAAAGGCUCUUUUCAUAGAAAAUUAUCAUAGAGUUUGUUUAACACAUGAACUUGACGGGCAUCCGGGAAGGACACGAGAUGUGUUCGACAC